AUUGAUAUUAUAAAUAAUAAUAAGAUAUAAUUAAUUAAAAUUAUAUAAUAUUUGAAUAAAUUUUAGUAUAAAUAAAAAUUAAUAUAAUAAUUUAUAGAUAUAAAGUAAUGUAAAUGAAUUAAAUAAAAUUUUUAAAAGUAUAAUUAUUUUAGUACCUUUUGUAUCAGGGUUAAUUAAUUUAAUUUUAAUAAUAAUUAAAUAUCUCGAAAAUAAAGGAGCUAAUUAAAUAUAAUAUUUUUUGUUGAAUUAAAAUUAUAAAUAUUUAAUUAGAGGUUAUAUACUAUUCAAUUUUAUUAAUAUCUAGUUUUUUAUUAAUUGAAUUUAAUUCAGAUAAAUUAAUAUUUUAAUUUAAAUUACUUUAUAUUAAAAUUUAAUUUAUUAAUAAUUUAUGGGAUAAACUGUAAAUUAAUUUAUAAUUAAUUUAAGUAUAUUAUUUAAUUAUAUAAUUUUAAAAUUUAAUUUUAUUAAUAAGUAUAUUAUAAUUUAAUAAUUUAAAUAAAAAUUUAAAAUUUUAAUAUAAAAUUUUAAUAAAAAUAUAUUUAUAAUUUAAAUAAAUAUGGUAUAAUGAUUAAAUUAGUAAAUAAAUUAAUAUAUUUAAUAUAAUUAUUAUUAUUAUAUAUAUAUAAGGAAUUAGGCAAAUUAAAUAUAUUCACCUGUUUAUCAAAAACAUGGUUUAUUGAAUAAUAAUUUUAGAUCAAUCUGCUCAAUGAAAAUUAAAUAGCUGCAGUAAUAAUGACUGUACAAAGGUAGCAUAAUCAAUUGUUUUUUAAAUGAAAACUUGAAUGAAAGAAUUGAUGAAAUAUAUACUGUCUCAUAUAUAUAAAUUGAAAUUAAAUUUUUAGUAAAAAUGCUAAAAUUUUAUUAUGGGACGAUAAGACCCUAUAGAAUUUUAUAUUUAAUUAAAUAAAUAUAAAUUUUAUUUAUUUAAUAAAUAUUUAGUUGGGAGGAUUAUUAAAUUAAAUUAACUUUAAUAAAAUUUAAUCUUAAAUUAAAGUAAAAAUAUAUUAAUUGAAUAAAUUUUAUUGAUUAAUAGAUUAAAUUACCUUAGGGAUAACAGCGUAAUAUCCUUUGAAAGAUCAAAUUGAUAAGGAUGAUUGCGACCUCGAUGUUGAAUUAAGAUAAAAUUUAAAUGUAGAUGUUUAAAAUUUUAAGUCUGUUCGACUUUUAAAAUCUUACAUGAUUUGAGUUCAGAUCGACGUAAGUCAGAUCGGUUUCUAUCUAUAAUAAUAAUUUAAUUAAUUGUACGAAAGGACUUUAAUUAAUAAAUAAUUUAAUAAUUAUAAAAUAAAUAAUUUUA
rnacentral:rRNA from 1 species